UGACCAGCCGGGCCCCCCCCCGGGGCUGGCGCAGGAGGAGCUGGGCCAGGCCGAGGUUCCCCCCCCUGACUGCGAUGUGCAGCGGGGUCAGGCUGCUCUUGGAGUCCUGGCAGGCGGGGGCUGC